rnacentral:lncRNA from 1 species
AUUUAUCGAAUACAAUAGAAGAUUAGUCUCCGAAUACAAUUCAUCAUAUUAGUCUCCGAAUUCAAAAUAUCGAACAAAGUUAGAACAUUACAAGUCUCGAGACCGCGAGUAGCGAGUUUGUCUUCACAUUACAAGUCGAUAUCUAAACUACCAUCAUAUAGAAGAGGGUUGCGGUCACGAUGAGCAUCAUCGCGAUGAAACUGAUCUUCAUCCAGUUACUCCUCCGCUCCCUCCUCUC